GGUAAGUUUAAUUUUCAUUUUAGUUUUUCUUUUGAUUAUGCUAUUUUGGGCUGUCUUUUGGGUUUACUUUUUGUUUGAUUGGUUUUGUUGUUUCUGUUAAUUCUUGUUGUUUUUCAUUCUAUGUGGGUUUAAUCCUAUUGCGUGUAUUUAUUUUUGAAUUUUAAUUCAAUCCUGUUGCAUGUAUAUAUUUUUCGAUUUUAAUUGUUGUUCUUUUCAGUUCUUUGCAUCCGUUCUUGCUGGAUUUAAUUGGGUGAAAUAAAAUUUUGAUGAUGAAUUAAAUCCUUCAAGAGCCUCUGAAUGGUGAAUUUAGUACAAGGGAGUAGGAAUCAAAUACUUACGUUGGCCACCCUUUGUUUUCUUGGCUUUUUUCUUGUAGUUACUUCACAACUUAUGAAGUAUUCUUAUAAUUUUUGUUCAAGUUAUUUUAUUCUUUUCCCUGUGUCAUCUUUCAUUCAAGUAACAACAUGUUGGUGUCAAGGGUACUAGCAGAAGUGCUUAUCUUCAUUCUGCUGAAUACCACCAUUUCCCCUUUGAAGUACCAUGAAUUUUAGCUACAACUCCUUUGUCUUGACCAUAUCCAUCAAAUGUUGUCCAACAAAUUAUUAACAUUCAGCUGAAGAAGUCAUCCCGGGUAAGCGCUAAUGUUACUUGUACAAGCCUAACAAUUGUAUCAUUCAUAGAAAAAGAGUAGAUGCUGCCACUGACUAUUGACCAGAGAAUUGCUAAGAAGGUCAGGCCACUUGCCACGAGCGAGCAGGAAAUGGAACCAACGAUGGUUGAAUCUGGAUCUUCAAGUGUAGCACUAGCACAUGAACCGCUCACGCCAGCAAAAAAAACUAAAAGAAACUAUUGUCCUCUUUUUUGGUAACUUUUGCGUACUAGAAAAGGAUGGGAUUUAUUUUUGGGCUCCAAAUCGCUAUGUUUUGACUCAUUAUGAAGCACGUUCAGCAGCUUUAGAAGCCAUCACACUCCUACAGAUUUAUCGCGAACAAAAAGUGCUACUUCCAGUUAAGUUUCACCACAUUACUUUUGAAAUCAUGAUUGUUAAGUUGGAGUUGAGGUUAAGAUAUCUAUUGUAGCAAUGUAGCGACUAAUUUUCUUGAGAACCAAUUCUUUCAUAAAAUCUGCUACAUCUGGAGAAAUUUAGCAUCGUCGUGCCUGUUCUCUGUAUCUAUUGUGUGACUAUUCUUUCUGUAUCUGUUGUGCUUUGUGCCAGUGUUCAUCUGUGGGUGAUAUGAAUGCCAUGGUGAAAAGAUAAUUAGUUAUCCACUGGUAAUAUUUGUCAUAUGGUAUGGAGUUCAAGAAAGUGUUUUAGUUUGCCUGGUUUUGGUUUUGUCUUCACAAGGACUUUUAAGGAAGUGUUCAAUUUGUCUUUUUUUUUUUAUUUUGAUUUGACACAGUAAAACUAAAGACAGGAAGAAUAUUCCAAAAUAUUUUUUUAAUCCUCUGAUCUCAAAUGUACCAUGUGGAAGGAAAGGUUCAAACUUGAAAUAAAAAAGUUGGGAGAAAAGGUAGUUGAAACUUGAAGCGUACCAUGUGGAAACUUCAAAGCUUUUCCUUACUGUUGAACUUGUUCAUCCAUAAUUAUUCUUAGAAAUUAUUGUUAUUCUCGGUAAUUGAUUUGUGGUAAAAGCAUUGUUGGUAUGUUAACAGCCUUUCCAGCUCAGUAAUGAAAAGGAAGUUUAAUCAUGUAUUACAGUAUAGCUUUUGCCCUAAAAUUUAUUACGGUUUGGUGUUCAUUUUCCUCAGACUACUAAUAUUUACCUCUUCACAUUUAGCCAUGUCAUAACUGUUUUUUGGAAUGCAAAACCAUGGCUGGAUUCUUAGCUCUCCCAUCCUACCGCUGUACGUUUGAAAUAUGAUCGUGUGGUAGCUGAAAAUGCAAGAACUGUAAUUUUUUAGAACUGUAAUUUUUUUGGGUUGUAUUGUAAUUACUACUAGAAGACCAAUUUGACUGAAUGCCACACCUAUAGUUAUUGUAAAUAUUGUUUAAUAUAUGUAUGUAUGUAUGUCGCCUUAAAUAUA